rnacentral:snRNA from 1 species
AAAAGGGUUUAAAAGAUUUA